GAGUGUUUCUUCUGCUGUGAAACUGUGGCCAUCUGUUGACUUCUACUCUUUAAUACCAAUGUAGAUAACACCCAGUGUAUCAGAGCUGGCAGCCUUAAUAGAUAAAGUCUGAGGCUCAUCAGAUUCACUAAUUAAAGCUGUGAGUCAGAUGAGACACAGCGAGACAGGAAACACAAGCAGGGGAACACAAGAGGGAGAAGCAAGCCCCCUGCCAAGCAAAAAGCCUGAUGGGGCUGGAUCCUAGACCCUGGGGUCAUGAUCUGAGCCAAAGGUAGAUGCUUAUCGACUGAGCCACCCAGGCAUCCUGGAAAGGGAG
rnacentral:lncRNA from 1 species